GAUGAACGCUGGCGGCGUGCCUAAUACAUGCAAGUCGAGCGAAUGGAUUAAGAGCUUGCUCUUAUGAAGUUAGCGGCGGACGGGUGAGUAACACGUGGGUAACCUGCCCAUAAGACUGGGAUAACUCCGGGAAACCGGGGCUAAUACCGGAUAACAUUUUGAACCGCAUGGUUCGAAAUUGAAAGGCGGCUUCGGCUGUCACUUAUGGAUGGACCCGCGUCGCAUUAGCUAGUUGGUGAGGUAACGGCUCACCAAGGCAACGAUGCGUAGCCGACCUGAGAGGGUGCUCGGCCACACUGGGACUGAGAAACGGCCCAGACUCCUACGGGAGGCAGCAGUAGGGAAUCUUCCGCAAUGGACGAAAGUCUGACGGAGCAACGCCGCGUGAGUGAUGAAGGCUUUCGGGUCGUAAAACGCUGUUGUUAGGGAAGAACAAGUGCUAGUUGAAUAAGCUGGCACCUUGACGGUACCUAACCAGAAAGUCACGGCUAACUACGUGCCAGCCGCCGCGGUAA
rnacentral:rRNA from 1 species